rnacentral:lncRNA from 1 species
AGGCUAGAAGCAAUGAUUACUGGUAGAGUUUUCUCAGAUCCUAAAAAUACGUACUUAAGUGAUUCAGACAAAGAUUUCAGUUCAAGUUAUGGUGGGGCUUGAAUCGAAGGACAUAGUUGUUCAGUUUCUAGCUUAGGUAAGGGCUCAAUUCUCAUUGACUAAGGCAAUGAAUGUGAUGGGUGAGGUGAAUCAAGCAAGACAUUCACCUUCUGAUUUUGGAUUUCUUGAAUGGGCUCAUCCAA